UACGGCGAGUGAAGCGGCAACAGCUCAAAUUUGAAAGCUAGCCUUCGGGUUUCGCAUUUGUAAUUUGUAGAGGAUGAUUUGGGGAAGCCGCCUGUCUAAGUUCCUUGGAACAGGACGUCAUAGAGGGUGAGAAUCCCGUAUGUGACAGGAAAUGGCACCCUAUGUAAAUCUCCUUCGACGAGUCGAGUUNGUUUGGGAAUGCAGCUCUAAAUGGGAGGUAAAUUUCUUCUAAAGCUAAAUAUUGGCGAGAGACCGAUAGCGCACAAGUAGAGUGAUCGAAAGAUGAAAAGCACUUUGGAAAGAGAGUUAAAAAGCACGUGAAAUUGUUGAAAGGGAAGCGCUUGCAAUCAGACUUGUUUAAACUGUUCGGCCGGUCUUCUGACCGGUUUACUCAGUUUGGACAGGCCAGCAUCAGUUUCGGCGGCCGGAUAAAGGCUCUGGGAAUGUGGCCUCCACUUCGGUGGAGGUGUUAUAGCCCAGGGUGUAAUACGGCCAGCCGGGACUGAGGUCCGCGCUUCGGCUAGGAUGCUGGCGUAAUGGUUGUAAGCGA
rnacentral:rRNA from 1 species